CAGUCGCCGCGGUAAUACGAAGGGUGCAAGCGUUACUCGGAAUUACUGGGCGUAAAGCGUGCGUAGGUGGUGGUUUAAGUCCGUUGUGAAAGCCCUGGGCUCAACCUGGGAAUUGCAGUGGAUACUGGGUCACUAGAGUGUGGUAGAGGAUAGUGGAAUUUCCGGUGUAGCAGUGAAAUGCGUAGAGAUCGGAAGGAACAUCUGUGGCGAAGGCGACUAUCUGGGCCAACACUGACACUGAGGCACGAAAGCGUGGGGAGCAAACAAGAUUAGAUACCCCAGUAGUCCCUGUCUCUUAUAC
rnacentral:rRNA from 1 species